ACACCCUUGGCUGCAUAGGGAGAAUGAGGCAAUCAGUGAAAUUCCUCGUUCUCUAGCCUUGGAUGGGGGCAGGGAUUGUCCUAGAGUUGGGGGCAUCUCUGGUCUGUAAGGCAGGGGGAGGGAGUUCCAGGCCCAAGGCUGAGCACCCUGCCCAGUGUCCUGGAUCCCAGCCCCUUCUAGUCUGGAAGGGGUGUCUGCAGACAUGCACCCUGUGAGCUGAAGAAGCAGAGGCAGCUGCAGCACAGGAGACAGGAGAGGCUGCAGAUCAAUGCUCUACUCUGGCCUAUGGUGGCAUUGGGGAUUGAACCUGAAACCUCAGAGCCUCAGCUAUUUCUGCAGCCCCAGGUACCUGUGCUUGUCAAAUCCAUUUAGUCCAGAGUCCAGAGGUGCAGAAAGCUGGGUCAAAAGCCCUGCUGCCCUUCAGGCAUGGACAGAAGGCCAGGGAUGUGGUCCCUUGUUCUGUUCUCCCUUUUGGCAGGGGCUCACGCUGAGCCAACUCUGCACUGCCCCUAACUACCCUCAGGCGUACCCCAAUGAGGUAGAGCAAUCCUGGGAUCUGGAAGUGCCUGAGGGGUAUGGGAUCCGGCUCUACUUCACACAUCUGGACAUAGAGCUGUCAGAAGACUGCGUGUAUGACUCAGUGAGGGACAAAGAAUGAAAAAUCAAAAAAAAAAAAAAAAAAGAACGAAAGAAAAAUCCAGGUUUAACUCCUAUGCUUCUCUCAAAUGCCUUUGGAUAAUUAACCUGCCUGCAUCAUGGAGAAUAAUCGUUUUGACCUUUAUGUAUUGCAUCAAUUCUUGUCAUACCAGCCCCCUACCAUAGGGGCAAGUUGACCUUUAAGAAACCUGCAAUUUCUGACAUAUUUUAAAAUUGUUCUUUGUUUAACUCUCUAUAUAAAACUGUACCCAUCCCCAAAUAAAACGAGUGUUUAUAUGAGAAUACUCCUGAAGUCCUCCUGUCUGGAUCGCGCAGACCUUGAGCUGGUGAGGGAGGAUCAGUGACUUGCCCCCUGGAUGGAUCCCCUCCACAGGAGUGCCAGCACUCUGAAAGACAGAUAAUGGUUGAUUUAGCUUCUGUGUACACUUUAAAAACUGAAAUACAUGAACUUGUGAAAAACGAACAAACUAAACUGAAGUAUCGCUAAACUUUUGUGGGAUCUCUGGUGGUUAUCCUGGGGCUGAGGGUGGGUAUGUUUGGUGGUAUGUGUAGUGUAGGAGCCAUACCCCUGUAGUCCUAUAAUUUUGUAAGACAUUGUCACAAAUAAAAAAUAAAUUAAAAAAGGAACAAGGACAACACUGAACAUUGCAGUGAACACAGACUCUUUUUUUUUUUCUUUCUUUUUUCUUUUACCAGAGCACUGUUCUGCUCUGACUUAUGGUGGUGUGAGGGAUUGAACCUGGGGAAUUUGGAGCUUCAGUUGUAAAAGUCUCUUUGUAUCACCAUUGUAGUAUCUACACCUGCCUCACAGACUCUGUUUAAAAAAAAAUCUGCCUGGGCUGACAGAAUAGCUUACAUGGAUAGUGUGCUAUUUGUUGUGUGCGUGGUCCAGGCUUGAGCUUG